GUCAUAUGAUGAUUUCUAUAUUUGCUACUUCAGAGGAGACUAUCUAUCUCCAAUGAGACAUAUUAAUUAUCACCAAGAUCUCUGAUGAC
rnacentral:snoRNA from 1 species